UCUAGAACUCAAGAUAUGGGCUAAACACCGAGCAAUGUCAAGGCUGCAAAAUAGAUUCAGACUUCUUUUUUGUUGCUAAGAUUUGAACUUCAAAACAACAGUAUUGAGUCUUGGACGCUGCAUGAAUGUUUUAGGCAUAUGUCUUAUCUUUCCAUC
rfam:Populus trichocarpa scaffold_1_contig_424, whole genome shotgun sequence.